CAGGUACAGCGGGAAGCCACCUGGCGACAGGGCGCGGAACCCGAAAACCUGUCUCAGUUCGGAUUGGAGUCUGCAACCCGACUCCAUGAAGCUGGAUUCGCUAGUAAUCGCGCAUCAGCCACGGCGCGGUGAAUACGUUCCCGGGCCUUGUACACACCGCCCGUCAAGCCAUGGAAGCCGGGAGUGCCUGAAGUGCGUGACCGCAAGGAGCGUCCUAAGGCAAUACCGGUGACUGGGGCUAAGUCGUAACAAGGUAAC
rnacentral:rRNA from 1 species